CCUACGGGAGGCUGCAGUGGGGAAUAUUGGACAAUGGGCGAAAGCCUGAUCCAGCCAUGCCGCGUGUGUGAAGAAGGCCUUCGGGUUGUAAAGCACUUUCAGUGGGGAAGAAAGCCUUGGGGCUAAUACCCUCGAGGAAGGACAUCACCCACAGAAGAAGCACCGGCUAACUCCGUGCCAGCAGCCGCGGUAAUACGGAGGGUGCGAGCGUUAAUCGGAAUUACUGGGCGUAAAGCGCGCGUAGGCGGUCUGAUAAGCCGGUUGUGAAAGCCCCGGGCUCAACCUGGGAACGGCAUCCGGAACUGUCAGGCUAGAGUGCAGGAGAGGAAGGUAGAAUUCCCGGUGUAGCGGUGAAAUGCGUAGAGAUCGGGAAGAAUACCAGUGGCGAAGGCGGCCUUCUGGACUGACACUGACGCUGAGGUGCGAAAGCGUGGGUAGCAAACAGGAUUAGAUACCCUGGUAGUC
rnacentral:rRNA from 1 species